rnacentral:piRNA from 1 species
UGACAUGAUGAAGUAGACUGAAA